rnacentral:lncRNA from 1 species
UUCCAUCAACGUUCUGAACUUUGGACGUGGGCGACAGCAGUGAUCUGCCACUUUGAAGAAGAAAACAAGAAGAACCCUCUGUAGACAGAAGAUACAUGCCACAUCAAGCCUUCUCAGCCAAGGAAGAACUUGUCUGAACCUCUUCCUGGGAUUGGGAAAAGGAUCCGGGAAAGACAGCGUGCUGCCAGGUAAGAGAUUAGGACACGUUUCAGCGUGGAGUUGUGCCGUCUGAGAGCUUUUGUUUGAGCUGCCCGUUUGAAAUGGAUAUUUUCUGAGCGCGAGCAUGUCAG